UCUCCGUUGGUGAACCAGCGGAGGGAUCAUUACCGAGUUUACAACUCCCAAACCCAAUGUGAACCAUACCAGACUGUUGGCUCGGCGGGGUCACGCCCCGGGUGCGUCGCAGCCCCGGAACCAGGCGCCCGCCGGAGGGACCAACCAAACUCUUUCUGUAGUCCCCUCGCGGACGUUAUUUUUACAGCUCUGAGCAAAAAUUCAAAAUGAAUCAAAACUUUCAACAACGGAUCUCUUGGUUCUG
rnacentral:misc_RNA from 1 species